rnacentral:rRNA from 1 species
AAAUUGAAGAGUUUGAUCAUGGCUCAGAUUGAACGCUGGCGGCAGGCCUAACACAUGCAAGUCGAACGGUAACAGGAAGCAGCUUGCUGCUUUGCUGACGAGUGGCGGACGGGUGAGUAAUGUCUGGGAAACUGCCUGAUGGAGGGGGAUAACUACUGGAAACGGUGGCUAAUACCGCAUAACGUCGCAAGACCAAAGAGGGGGACCUUCGGGCCUCUUGCCAUCAGAUGUGCCCAGAUGGGAUUAGCUUGUUGGUGAGGUAACGGCUCACCAAGGCGACGAUCCCUAGCUGGUCUGAGAGGAUGACCAGCCACACUGGAACUGAGACACGGUCCAGACUCCUACGGGAGGCAGCAGUGGGGAAUAUUGCACAAUGGGCGCAAGCCUGAUGCAGCCAUGCCGCGUGUAUGAAGAAGGCCUUCGGGUUGUAAAGUACUUUCAGCGGGGAGGAAGGUGUUGUGGUUAAUAACCACAGCAAUUGACGUUACCCGCAGAAGAAGCACCGGCUAACUCCGUGCCAGCAGCCGCGGUAAUACGGAGGGUGCAAGCGUUAAUCGGAAUUACUGGGCGUAAAGCGCACGCAGGCGGUCUGUCAAGUCGGAUGUGAAAUCCCCGGGCUCAACCUGGGAACUGCAUUCGAAACUGGCAGGCUUGAGUCUUGUAGAGGGGGGUAGAAUUCCAGGUGUAGCGGUGAAAUGCGUAGAGAUCUGGAGGAAUACCGGUGGCGAAGGCGGCCCCCUGGACAAAGACUGACGCUCAGGUGCGAAAGCGUGGGGAGCAAACAGGAUUAGAUACCCUGGUAGUCCACGCCGUAAACGAUGUCUACUUGGAGGUUGUGCCCUUGAGGCGUGGCUUCCGGAGCUAACGCGUUAAGUAGACCGCCUGGGGAGUACGGCCGCAAGGUUAAAACUCAAAUGAAUUGACGGGGGCCCGCACAAGCGGUGGAGCAUGUGGUUUAAUUCGAUGCAACGCGAAGAACCUUACCUGGUCUUGACAUCCACGGAAGUUUUCAGAGAUGAGAAU